rnacentral:lncRNA from 1 species
CUGUGAAACAGAGUAGGAUGGACAUGUGGGAGAAAGGGAUGGCUUAAGGGUGGUCAGAGCCUAGAAGCAGAGAAUGGGGCUAUGAACUCUGGGAGCAGCAAGACAGAGUUCAAAUCCCAGCAUUACAGUCCCCCCCACAAUUUUUGUUGGUGCAUUAUAGUUUUUUAUAAUGAUGGGAUUUGUUCUUAUAUAUUUGUACAUGCACAUAAUAUAAAAAUAUAAUUUUGGCCAAUGUCACUCCCCUGCAUUUCCCCCUCCCUUUCCUCCUUCUACCUCCUAGUCUCUUUCCUCUAUUCUUCUGAUCUCCCUUUGAUUUACAUGAGAAGCCCUCCCCACACACACACACACCUAUCUUUUCUUUCUCUAGCUUCCACACAUGAGAGAAAACAUACGACCCUUGACCUCUUAGUUUGGCUUAAUUCUGCAGGUGCAACACUAUCAGGGAGUGGAAGGCCCCUGCUUUCCUCCCUGGAAUCCCCUGGCCUCAUGUGGGGUCUUAUAGCUGAAGCGGGUCUGACCCCCCUCUUCCAUAUGUACAAUGGGAGUGACAAAUGACUUAAUGUCCAGAAGAAAUUAAACUACUUGUUUCACUUGUUAAUGGUAUUGUUUUCCUCUGAAAUAUGCCCCUGUAGAGCAGUUGCCUUUGGACAAAGACUCAAAGCUGUUCAUCCAGAAUUUUGGAUUAUUUCACUUAACAUAAUGGUUCCAUCUACUUUCCUGAAAAUGACAAAAUUUCAUUUGUCUUUAUGGCUGAAUAAAAUUCCAUGAUGUAUAUAGACCACAUUUUCUUUAUCCAUUCAUCUGUUGAUAGGCACCAGGGCUGGUUUCAUAGUUUGGCUAUUGUGAAUUUCCAGCACUACUCUUCUUUCUAGCUAUGUAACCUUGGGCAGGUGUCUUAACCUUUUUGGGUGUCAGUUUCU